UUAAUGGCUGUCUCAGCUCGUGUCGUGAGAUGUUGGGUUAAGUCCCGCAACGAGCGCAACCCUUGUCCUCAGUUACCAGCACGUUAUGGUGGGCACUCUGGGGAGACUGCCGGUGACAAACCGGAGGAAGGUGGGGACGACGUCAAGUCAUCAUGGCCCUUACGGCCAGGGCUACACACGUGCUACAAUGGUGCAUACAGACGGUUGCCAAGCUGUGAAGCGGAGCUAAUCUGAGAAAGUGCAUCGUAGUCCGGAUUGGAGUCUGCAACUCGACUCCAUGAAGUCGGAAUCGCUAGUAAUCGUGAAUCAGAAUGUCGCGGUGAAUAACUUCCCGGGA
rnacentral:rRNA from 1 species